UACAGAGGUCUCGAGCGUUGUUCGGAUUCAUUGGGCGUAAAGGGCGCGUAGGCUGCGGGGCAAGUCGGGUGUGAAAUCUCAGAGCUCAACUCUGAAACUGCACUCGAUACUGCUUUGCUUGAGGACUGGAGAGGAGAUUGGAAUUCACGGUGUAGCAGUGAAAUGCGUAGAUAUCGUGAGGAAGACCAGUGGCGAAGGCGGAUCUCUGGACAGUUCCUGACGCUGAGGCACGAAAGCCAGGGGAGCAAACGGG
rnacentral:rRNA from 1 species